rnacentral:piRNA from 2 species
CGCAAUGGAUAGCGCAUUGGACUUCUA